rnacentral:rRNA from 1 species
UACGAAAGGGGCUAGCGUUGCUCGGAAUCACUGGGCGUAAAGCGCACGUAGGCGGAUUGCUAAGUCAGGGGUGAAAUCCUGGAGCUCAACUCCAGAACUGCCUUUGAUACUGGCGAUCUCGAGUCCGGGAGAGGUGAGUGGAACUGCGAGUGUAGAGGUGAAAUUCGUAGAUAUUCGCAAGAACACCAGUGGCGAAGGCGGCUCACUGGCCCGGUACUGACGCUGAGGUGCGAAAGCGUGGGGAGCAAACAGG